ensembl:lncRNA
AGAGAAAGGCAGACCUGGUGGUCAUCAACAGCAGAGAAGAACUGAGAACUGUUUGUGCGUUUGUCAGCAGAUUGAUGGAUACUUCCUGGAUUGGACUGAGUGAUCGAGAGAAAGAGGGGACCCACAAGUGGGUGGAUGGUACCCCCAUGACCUCAAGUUGGAGACACGUUAAACCACGCGAUGACGGCGGAGCAAGAGACUGUGUCGUAGCAGGGGAGGACGGCUGGUCUGAAGAACCGUGUAACAGACUGCACCACUGGAUCUGUGAGAAGGUCCUAGACCUGGAUCAUCUGGAGGCUGAGCGGAACAAAGAGGGUUCAGUGAUGCCCACGGAGGAGGAGGAGGAGGCCCCAGCAUCACAGAGUUCCACUCCUCUACCCACGUGUUGCCCGUGGGCCAAACGGCCCGCUACACCUGCCACGCCGGGCGCACGCCGGAGCCCACAGUAGAGUGGCUCCAACAAACGGCAGGCCCCUGGAGAGGGACGGCACAGACGACCAAUCAGAGGCCUGGGUGGAGAGGGGCUUCCUCUUCAUCAGAGGUGGGAGGUACGGCGUGAACACGGUCUGCUGCAUGGCGAGCAACAGCGCUGGCACGGCCAAUCACAGCGCUGAGCUGCUUGUCUUUGAUGCCUGUGACCUCACACUGGACCCCAACACGGCCCACAGAGAACUCUCUCUGUCUGAGGACAACAGGAAGGUGACGGGGUUGAGAGGACCAGUCAGUAUCCGGAUCACCCAGACAGAUUUGACUCCUGGGUCCAGGUGUUGGGUAGAGAGGCUCUGACUGGCCGCUGUUACUGGGAGGUAGAGUGGGAAGGACGGGUUGAGAUAGGAGUGACAUACAGAGGAAUCACAAGGAGAGGAGGGGGUGGUGACAGCGGGCUUGGAUGGAACAACAAGUCCUGGAGUCUUCUUUGUGAUGAUGAUGGUGGUUACUCUGCCCGGUACAACGGUACACUAACAGCCCUCCCUCUCCCCCCCGCUGGCUCCACCAGAGUAGGAGUGUAUCUGGACCGGCCUGCUGGCUCUCUGUCCUUCUACAGAGUGUCCCCAGGUGGAGGAGGGUCCUCAGACACACUGACACACCUCCACACCUUCUGGUCCUCCUUCACCCAGGAGGACCUCCUCCCGGGGGGUUUUGGGGGCCCUCAGUGGGGUCC